CCUACGGGGGGCAGCAGUGGGGAAUAUUGGACAAUGGGGGGAACCCUGAUCCAGCCAUGCCGCGUGUGUGAAGAAGGCCCUCGGGUUGUAAAGCACUUUCAGUGAGGAAGAACGCCUGGUGGUUAAUACCCAUCAGGAAAGACAUCACACACAGAAGAAGCACCGGCUAACUCCGUGCCAGCAGCCGCGGUAAUACGGAGGGUGCGAGCGUUAAUCGGAAUUACUGGGCGUAAAGCGCGCGUAGGUGGCUUGAUAAGCCGGUUGUGAAAGCCCCGGGCUCAACCUGGGAACGGCAUCCGGAACUGUCAAGCUAGAGUGCAGGAGAGGAAGGUAGAAUUCCCGGUGUAGCGGUGAAAUGCGUAGAGAUCGGGAGGAAUACCAGUGGCGAAGGCGGCCUUCUGGACUGACACUGACACUGAGGUGCGAAAGCGUGGGUAGCAAACAGGAUUAGAUACCCGUGUAGUC
rnacentral:rRNA from 1 species